rnacentral:lncRNA from 1 species
AAAAGGAACUCUUAAGAUGUUGAGGUGAAAUUGACCACUUAUCUUUUUUUUUCAAACAUUUUAUUUAGGGGCAGCCUGGGUGGCUCAGCGGUUUGGCACCUGCCUUCGGCCCAGGGCGUGAUCCUGGAGUCCCAGGAUCGAGUCCCACAUCGGGCUCCCUGCAUGGAGCCUCCUUCUCCCUCUGCCUGCGUCUCUGCCUCUCUCUCUGUGUCUCUCAUGAAUAAAUAAAUAAAAUGUUUUUUAAAAAUAUUUUAUUUACUUACUCAUGAGAGAGAGAGAGAGAGAGAGAGAGAGGCAGAGACAUCAGGAGAGGGAGAAGCAGGCUCCCUGGAGGGAGCCCGAUGUGGGACUCGAUCCCGGGUCUCCAGGAUCAGGCCCUGGGCCAAAGGCAGGCACUAAACCACUGAGCCACCCAGGGAUCCCAACCGCUUAUCUUUUUAAGUUCCUCCAGUGCAAGGCCCCCUGCUUCUGAGUCGAGACCCUGCACAGUACUGCCAUGCUGUCUGGGGGGACCCGGACACCCCAAACUAUCACAGGUGAGUUCAUGCCCUUGAAAAUGUAUAUACUGACUCUUUAGGGGCACAGAAAUGUCUCCAGCUCACCUACAGAUAUUCAUUCUUGGCAGAUGCAGCCUCUUAAACCCAGAGUACAAGGGAGAGACUUGCCUGGGGGCAAAGAUCCCUGAUGCCCAUCUCCGUGGUUAUGCAUUGUGGCCAGAGCAGGGUCCCCCACAACUGGUCCAGCCAGAUGGGCCUGGGGUCCGAGACACUGAUUUUCUCCUGUAUGUGUUGGUGGCCCACACUUCCAAAUGCCAUGGAGAGCCCUCUAUCAUAGCCUAUGCUGCCUGCUGCCAGCUGGACUCAGAAGACAGACCCCUCGCUGGCACCAUUGUCUACUGCGCCCAGCAUCUCACCAGCCCCAGCCUCAGCCAUCGUGACAUCGUCAUGGUGACUGCUGCAUGAUGAAUAGGAAGGCGCAAACAGGUUGGGGGAAGGGGGCAGGUCACUCAGCUUCCCAUGGAGUGGAAGAAUCUACUAGGGAUUGGAGGAGAAGCUGCCUCAACUCUAAGAAGAGCUGAUUGGGCAGAGGGACUAGAGAGUGGCUAGUCAAUCUGCUCCAUUCCCCCACCCCCCUCACCCUGCAGUCAUUUGUCCUUAGGUCACACUACACGAAUUGCUCCAUGCUCUGGGUUUCUCCGGACAGCUCUUCAAGAAGUGGCGGGAUUGCCCCUCGGGACCCAGCGGUAAAUGAGAGGAGUGAGGGCAAGCUUUCCUACGAUGUCAGCAAGAGGGGAUCACUACCAUACCACCAACUCCUUCCUUCCGGUGCUGCUCUACCCUUCCUAAGUCUUCCUCUUCUCAUAUAGUCUUCUUCGCUUUUUGUGCUCAGUUAGGGAGAACUGUUCCACAAGGCAACAAGUGACACGGCGAGAUGAGUGGGGACAGCUGCUUCUAACCACCCCAACUGUUAGCCACAGCCUGGCCAAACACUUGGGAGUGCCAGGGACUUCAGUGGGUGUUCCCUUGGAAGAAGAGGUGAGAAUGAGAACACCUGGGGGUGCUGGAAGGAACAGGGAGUAGACAGGUGGCAACCAGCUACCUCCUCCCUAGGGCCCUUUGUCUUCACACUGGGAGGCCCGAAUGCUCCAGGGUUCUAUAAUGACCGCUACCUUCGAUGGUGCCCGGCGCACUCGACUUGAUCCAAUCACUCUCGCUGCCUUCAGAGAUUCUGGCUGGUACCAAGUCAAUCACAGCGCUGCACAGGAGCUGUUGUGGGGCCAGGGUGAGAACAAGGAGAAUGGCAGAGGGGCCCUCGUGACCUGAGUCAGUUUGGGGGCAGUGAGAGAGAUUGGGAGGGAUUAUCUGCUGGUGUGAGGGAUGCUUGGGGCUUCGUUUGUUCUUUUUUUUUUUUUUUUAUGAUUUUAUUUAUUCAUGAGAGACACACAGAGAGACAGAGACACAG